rnacentral:rRNA from 1 species
CCUACGGGAGGCAGCAGUGGGGAAUAUUGCACAAUGGGGGAAACCCUGAUGCAGCGACGCCGCGUGAGUGAAGAAGUACUUCGUUAUGUAAAGCUCUAUCAGCAGGGAAGCAAAUGACGGUACCUGAGUAAGAAGCCCCGGCUAACUACGUGCCAGCAGCCGCGGUAAUACGUAGGGGGCAAGCGUUAUCCGGAUUUACUGGGUGUAAAGGGAGCGUAGACGGCAGUGAAAGUCUGGAGUGAAAGGCGGGGGCCCAACCCCCGGACUGCUCUGGAAACUGUACGGCUGGAGUGCAGGAGAGGUAAGCGGAAUUCGUAGUGUAGCGGUGAAAUGCGUAGAUAUUAGGAGGAACACCAGUGGCGAAGGCAGCUUACUGGACUUUAACUGACGUUGAGGCUCGAAAGCGUGGGGAGCAAACAGGAUUAGAUACCCUUGUAGUC